GGGACCCUGCUACACCCUUUCCUACCAUACAACUGAUGGAUACUGACUGGAAAAUGGCAAUCAUAGGAGGAGGGUUCAGUGUGGUGAAAGAAGAUGGAAUAGACGUGUGUCAGUGCACCAGCCUUGAUGAAGCCUUCAUAACAGCCUUCUGUAUCAUUGACUGGAAGUCUGACAGUCCAGAUGUGAGGAAGACAUACAGAGUGGAGUUGGAGCUCAGCAGGUGUGAUGGCUGUGGAUGCAUCUACAGAAACACCACUGGAUACUGUAGCCAUGGAAAGUAGGGGGGUCUUCACAGCUUUCUAUUCAGACAAAGAGUUUGCUGGAUCCUGUUCUAUGGACUGCUACUACAGAAUGAAUGAAUGAGUUGUUUAUCUAUCUAUCUAUCUAUCUAUCUAUCUAUCUAUCUAUCUAUCUAUCUAUCUAUCUAUCUUUUUUUUUUUACUUGAAUUGGUGACUGAAACUGAAAGCUAAAUAAAUGUUUUAGUGGAUAAAGCUGUAUUUGUUUGCUUAUGUCACUUAACAUAAGGUUACUAAAGUCUUCUGACUAAUUUUUAAAUUUUAUAAUUUAGUGGUUUUGUCAACUAUAUAUUUUUCUCUAUCAGGCAAAACAGUUUUCAAGGGUAACACUUUACAAUAAGGUUUCAUUUGUUGACACUGAUGUAUUAACUAACAUUAACUAUGAGCAAUACAUUUGAUACAGUAUUUGUUAAACUUUGUUAGUUAAUAAAAAUACAGAUGUUUGUUGUUUGUUCUUGUUAGUUCACCUCACAGUGCAUUAACUAAUGUUAACAAAUACAACUUUUGACUUUAACUUAAGAACAGCUAGUGCGACUAACCGUUUUAAGAGAUGUUUGUAUUCUCGAAAAAUAAUUGUAAUUUGUUUUUGAUUAUUGAUAAAUCAAGACCUAAACUUGCGGUGAUGACGUCAGUUACCCGCGCCAUGCAGAAGUUUUGCAUUCAAAAGUCACUGCUAGUGUGAACGGGGCUUUAGAUUAAAGGGGUCAUAUUAUGCGAUUUAAAAUGUUCCUUUCUCUUUGGAGUGUUACAAGCUCUUGGUGAAUAAAGAAGAUCUGUGAAGUUGCAAAGACUAAAGUCUCAAACACAAAGAGAUAUUCUUUAUAAAAGUUGAGACUUGUCCACGCCCCCCUGAAAUGGCUCGUUCUAACACGCCCCCACAUAUCUACAUCAGUAUGUGGGAAGAUUUGAAUAACACCGCCCAGAUGUUCAAGCAAAGAAAGAAGGCGUACCUUUUAUUCUCGUUGUAGUAUUGUUGUUGCUGCCGCCGCCAUGUCGUAUAGAUGCUGUGUGUUUCACUGUGAAAGCGAAACUACUUUGUUUGGCCUUCCAAAAGAGGAUGAUAUCCACUUCAUCAUGCCUGGAGCUGAUCCGUGCUGGUCGCUGAGGAAAUACAUCAACUUUACACUGUGGAUUGCAGAAUGGGCUUUCACCGUGGAUGAAGCGGAGUCCAGCCCGGGGUUGUCACAUGUGGUUGCUGCAAGAUCAAGGUACGCUCCUUCGUAGAAUCCGCCUGCUACACCGUUCUCAAGCCGCCCACCUCUACUCACUCAAGCCGGCCGCGGCUCACUCUAGGCCUCCGGCCUUUGCUCACUCAAGGCCGUGGUGUGUGAGGCUGUUUCAUUAAGAUAGCGAAACAACUUUGUUUUUGCCUUCCA
ensembl:lncRNA